UCUCCCACUGCUUUGCAUUUUUGUGUGUGUGGGGAGUAGUGUGUCCUUGUAACACAGUAGCGCCUCUCCCCGGCUAGGGUUUAGUGAAGCGCGCUGCCAAGAGGAAGAAGCGGAGGAGUAAGCAAGGGCGCGGCGCUAGCUCGCCACUCCAUCUCGCGAAUCUAUCUAUCCGCGCGACGAAUGGUGUGCCGAAAUCCGGUAGGGUGGGAGCAGCAGCAGUGAUUCUCGCAUCGGCGCCCUGGCUGGGAGAUUUCGGCCGGCGGAUGGGAAUUCCGUGGCGCUGAAUCCAUUGGAUCGGCCACGGAUCAGGUGGAUCGGCAGGACAAGACUUGUUCUAGAGCCGCGGCAGUGGCGGCAAUUUCUUGCUCUUGGUCCGAUCUGCCAGAGCUGACGGGGUUUCCAAUGCGUUGCUGAGAGUGGUACGGAAGGCCGUAGCUCGGAGAAAAUGGGAUGUAUAUUUUGCUUUGGAGGAGGCAAGCAGCAAGAGAGCCGGGUUGGAAGCAAGCCUGGAGCUCGGACGGCUCAACAGGCACCUGGGAUCGUGGAGAAGGAGAAGUCGCUGGCAAAAAUUCCCUCCGAUAAGGUGAAGCCGGCAGCUUCUUUGGAUCGCAAGAAGGAAAAUGCACCCGGAGAUUCCACUCCAGCCAUUGCUGCUCAGACUUUCACGUUUCGAGAGCUUGCAGCAGCCACGAAGAACUUCAAGGCCGAGUGUCUCUUAGGUGAGGGUGGUUUUGGGCGAGUGUACAAAGGACGACUGGAGAAUUCGGGACAGGUAGUCGCUGUGAAGCAGCUGGAUAGAAACGGAUUGCAAGGCAAUCGAGAGUUUUUGGUCGAGGUUUUAAUGCUGAGUUUGCUUCACCAUCCAAACUUGGUCAACCUCAUUGGAUACUGUGCAGACGGUGAUCAGAGAUUGCUAGUUUACGAGUUUAUGCCGCUCGGGUGUUUGGAGGAUCACUUGCAUGGUACGAUACUUUCUCUUGGUCUUGACGGGCUUACCUUCCUCUUGUUUUUGCUAGAUAUUCCCCCGGAGAAAGCCCCGCUCGACUGGAACACGCGCAUGAAGAUCGCGGCUGGUGCUGCGAUGGGUCUAGAAUAUCUGCACGACAAGGCCAAUCCGCCGGUGAUUUACAGGGACUUCAAGUCAUCCAACAUUCUUCUUGACAACAAUUUCCACCCAAAGCUCUCCGACUUCGGGCUUGCAAAGCUCGGCCCUGUCGGUGACAAGACGCACGUCUCAACGAGAGUUAUGGGGACUUACGGCUAUUGUGCACCAGAGUAUGCGAUGACGGGACAGUUGACAUUAAAGUCGGACGUAUACAGUUUUGGAGUCGUGCUACUAGAGCUUAUAACAGGUAGAAAGGCGAUCGACAACUCAAGACCAGCUGGAGAGCACAAUCUUGUGGCCUGGGCAAGGCCCCUGUUCAAAGACCGGAGAAAGUUCCCGUCCAUGUCGGAUCCGCUGUUGCAAGGCAGAUAUCCAAUGCGCGGCCUGUAUCAGGCUCUGGCAGUCGCUGCGAUGUGCCUCCAGGAGCAAGCGGGCACGAGACCACUGAUCGCCGACGUAGUCACCGCUCUAAACUAUCUCGCCAGCCAGACAUACGACCCCGGCGUUCAUCCUCUCUCCAACAGCAGGCUGACGCCACCAUCGUCCAGAGAGAAGCGGGAGAAGGACAAAGAGAAAGAGAGGAAGCUGUCACUCGCAACUCCUGCUGCUGCUGCUGCUGCUGGUGAUGAUCGCGGCAAGAACAAUGGCGUGCAUUCUCCGAGCGUCACAGCCAAAUCGUCCGCAAAGUCAUCUCCAAAUGUCCGUGUGAAAGACGAGGACAGUCCCAGGAACUUACUGGAGGAAGCCAAGCUGCACGAUAGCAGCAAACAGCGAGAGGCGGACGACUGGGAGAUGUACGACAGGAACUCGAUGAGCCCCAGCCGCACCAACAAGAUCUUCAAGGAAGGAUUCAAGAUCUUGGAUCACGACCGGGAGAGAGCGGUGGCGGAAGCAAGGAUCUGGGGGGAGAGCUACAGGGAAAGGAAGCGAGGCAACACACAGGGUGGUGGUGGGGGCGGCGGCGGCAGUGGUGGUGGCAGUGGUGGUGGUGGUGGUGGUGGCACCGAUUGCUAGAGCGAGAAGAGCAGAACGAGCGAAUUUUGUCCUCUGAGCUGAUGCCUCACGAGCAGGCCAGCUUCCAGAGCUCUUCUAAGUUCUCCGAGCGGCUAUAGCUUCCAGAGCUCUUCCAAGUCCUCCGAGCGGCUAUAGCUUCCAGAGUUCUUCCAAGUUCUCGGCUACUUUCAGUGGUGCCAGGGAAAGCCGGACGUGAACUGGGCCUCGAGCUUCUCGUUGGUCUCGUACAGGAUGCUGUCCUCGAUCUUAUAGUCGGGCUUGAGAUCGUCCAGUCCCUCGAGCAUGAAGUCGGCCUCGUCGAUCACUUGGUGGAAGUCGAUGGGUGGCGGCGGGGGUUGCAGAACCGGGACCACGAUUCGAGGCUGGUGAUUGAGAGCUUGCGGCGAUGACGAUGACACCAUGCUGCCACUGGGGGAUUUCUUAAACUUGAGCUUGACGACGCCCGCGCGGCUACUAGGAGCUCUCUCCGUCUCGACUUUCGUCCGUUUCCUCUGGUGGAUUUCUUCCAAGCUGUCUCUCCGCGUGGACGAGGAUUUGUCGCCGCUUCUCGAGAACCUGGAACGAGGAAAAAGAAAAAGAAAAAAAGCAUGAGUUUCUUUCUCCAUGCUCGAAGUCGAUCGAUCGCUGCUGUGAGAAAAAGUGAGCUUUGUUUUUUACCUCUCGCGGAGUAUCUUGAACGCUUCCUUCGUGGCAUACGGCUGGCCUGUCUUGGGAUCUUUGUACCUGCGCAAAGACGCAAAAAACAAAACACCAGAUUUUUGUCCCAGUU